rnacentral:lncRNA from 1 species
ACAGAUCCUUUUGUCUUGCAUUUCGUCUGAGUCAUGCACACUGGGUACAGCUCAGCCGUGGAGAUUUCCCUGAGCAUCGUACCAACAUCCAUUAAAGUGUCUUCAAAAAUCAUAUGAAGGAGAAUCUCUGAUGAGCACCAAACCCUGACACAUAACAGUGUUGUUUAGGUAAGUGUAGGUAAGCUGUUUCUACUCUAGGACAUGGAGUAGACUCAAAACCCAAACCAAAAAAAAAAACCAACCACCCACAAAAUCCAGAGCACUAUUUUGCAGGAGA